rnacentral:rRNA from 1 species
UACGGGGGGGGGUAAGCGUUGUUCGGAAUUACUGGGCGUAAAGGGCUCGUAGGCGGCCAACUAAGUCAUACGUGAAAUCCCUCAGCUUAACUGGGGAACUGCGUGUGAUACUGGAUGGCUUGGAUGUGGGAGAGGGAUGCGGAAUUCCAGGUGUAGCGGUGAAAUGCGUAGAUAUCUGGAGGAACACCAAUUGCGAAGGCAGCUCGCUGGGACGUUACUGACGCUGAGACGCGAAAGCGUGGGGAGCAAACAGG